CAGCAGUGGGGAAUAUUGCACAAUGGGGGAAACCCUGAUGCAGCGACGCCGCGUGGAGGAAGAAGGUCUUCGGAUUGUAAACUCCUGUUGUUGAGGAAGAUAAUGACGGUACUCAACAAGGAAGUGACGGCUAACUACGUGCCAGCAGCCGCGGUAAAACGUAGGUCACAAGCGUUGUCCGGAAUUACUGGGUGUAAAGGGAGCGCAGGCGGGAGAACAAGUUGGAAGUGAAAUCCAUGGGCUCAACCCAUGAACUGCUUUCAAAACUGUUUUUCUUGAGUAGUGCAGAGGUAGGCGGAAUUCCCGGUGUAGCGGUGGAAUGCGUAGAUAUCGGGAGGAACACCAGUGGCGAAGGCGGCCUACUGGGCACCAACUGACGCUGAGGCUCGAAAGUGUGGGGAGCAAACAGGAUUAGAUACCCUGGUAGUCCACACCGUAAACGAUGAUUACUAGGUGUUGGAGGAUUGACCCCUUCAGUGCCGCAGUUAACACAAUAAGUAAUCCACCUGGGGAGUACGACCGCAAGGUUGAAACUCAAAGGAAUUGACGGGGGCCCGCACAAGCAGUGGAGUAUGUGGUUUAAUUCGAAGCAACGCGAAGAACCUUACCAGGUCUUGACAUCCUACUAACGAGAUAGAGAUAUGUUAGGUGCCCUUCGGGGAAAGUAGAGACAGGUGGUGCAUGGUUGUCGUCAGCUCGUGUCGUGAGAUGUUGGGUUAAGUCCCGCAACGAGCGCAACCCUUGCUAUUAGUUGCUACGCAAGAGCACUCUAAUAGGACUGCCGUUGACAAAACGGAGGAAGGUGGGGACGACGUCAAAUCAUCAUGCCCCUUAUGACCUGGGCUACACACGUACUACAAUGGACAUAAACAGAGGGAAGCAAAACAGCGAUGUGGAGCAAACCCCUAAAAAUGUUCUCAGUUCAGAUUGCAGGCUGCAACCCGCCUGUAUGAAGAUGGAAUUGCUAGUAAUCGCAGAUCAGCAUGCUGCGGUGAAUACGUUCCCGGGCCUUGUACACACCGCCCGUCACACCAUGGGAGCCGGUAAUACCCGAAGUCAGUAGUCUAACCGCAAGGAGGACGCUGCCGAAGGUAGGAUUGGCGACUGGGGUGAAGUCGUAACAAGGUAGCCGUAUCGGAAGGGGCGGCUG
rnacentral:rRNA from 1 species